rnacentral:rRNA from 1 species
UACGUAGGGGGCUAGCGUUGUCCGGAAUCAUUGGGCGUAAAGAGCGCGUAGGCGGCCAGAUAAGUCCGGUGUGAAAGUCACAGGCUCAACCUGUGAAUGCCGCUGGAAACUGUAUGGCUAGAGUCCGGAAGGGGCGAGUGGAAUUCCUGGUGUAGCGGUGGAAUGCGCAGAUAUCAGGAGGAACACCGGUGGCGAAGGCGGAUCUCUGGGCCAUAACUGACGCUGAGGAGCGAAAGCGUGGGGAGCGAACAGG